rnacentral:rRNA from 1 species
GAAAGGGGUGGGGGGAGAGAGAGAAAAAAAAAGGGGGAAUAAAAAGGGAAAGAAAUAAAGCGAGAGGCGAAUCCCAAUUCCCCAAGUAGUACGCACGCACGAGAGGGGGCGAGGGAGGAGGGCAGCGCGCACACACCAGGGCAGGGGAGGGGAGGGGAGGAGGACUACAAGAGAGGAGAGAGAGGCGGGGGGCGAGGGGCAGCGGCAGAGGGCUGCAGCAGGGGCAGAAGCAUUAGAAGGGGCAGUUGUAACCAAGUGGCAGCAGUAGAUAGAGCCAUCUAUCUAUCUCUCUCUACAGGUAUAAAUCCUUCCUUGCUCGCUUGCUUGCUUGCUCGCUCGCUCGCGCAUCUGGUAGGACGGAGGGGGCAGAAGGAGUUGGUGGUGGGGAUUUCUCGGGCGCCGCGGCGAUGGGGGCGCGCUGAUUGGGCCGCCGGCCGCGAUCUCUCAGUCCAGAUUUCCUUGGGCGGGCCCGCGCGUGAUCUUGCCAUGGGUUCGAUUUGUUGCUGUUAGAUCGCGGCUAGGAGAUCAGCGAGCACGCCCAGAUUUCUCCCUUUCCGGAUCAGUCUCAUCCGACAAGAUAAUAAGCCGAGCGGGAGGGGGAGAAGCCAUGAUGCUGGAGGGCAAAUCCUGCCUCGUCUCGCGCUCCCUGCCCAGCUACUGCGACCCGGACUCCGACUGGGCGUUCCUCCUCAGCGGCAGCAAGCGGCCCGCGCCGGAAGACUUCCGCGCGGAAGACAUGGAGGAGGUAGACGCCGGCGGCAGCAGCAGCGGGAAGCGCAGCAAGUCGCCUUCCCCGCAGCCGCACACGCCGGACAUCACCGAGAGCCACGGCUCCAGCCGCCAUGCCUCCUCCGGCAGCGGCGGAGGGGAGCAGCAAGGCUCUGGGGCCAAUCUCAUUGGCGAGAUUGGCCGCGACCUCUCCAUCAACUGCCUCCUCCGGCUCUCCAGGUCGGACUAUGGCUCCGUCGCCUCCCUCAACAGGGACUUCAACUCCCUGGUGCGCAACGGGGAGAUCUACCGCCUGCGGCGGCAGAAUGGCAUCGCCGAGCAUUGGGUCUACUUCUCCUGCAAUGUCCUGGAGUGGGACGCCUAUGACCCCUACAGGGAGCGCUGGAUCCAGGUGCCCAAGAUGCCACCGGAUGAAUGCUUCAUGUGCUCUGACAAGGAGUCCCUGGCUGUGGGCACCGAGCUGCUUGUGUUUGGGAUGGCACACAUUGUGUUCAGAUAUAGCAUCCUGACCAAUUCAUGGACAAGGGCUGAUCCCAUGAACUCUCCCCGGUGCUUGUUUGGAUCAACAAGCGUCGGUGAAAAGGCGUAUGUCGCUGGAGGCACCGAUGCUUCUGGAAAGAUACUGAGCUCUGCCGAGAUGUAUGAUUCUGUGACACACACUUGGACACCCCUUCCCAGCAUGAAUAGAGCUAGGAAGAUGUGUUCUGGUGUGUUCUUGGAUGGCAAGUUCUAUGUGAUUGGUGGUGUUACCAACAACAACCAGGUACUGACAUGUGGUGAGGAAUAUGACUUGAAUCGGGGGUCAUGGAGGGUCAUUGAGAACAUGUCUGAGGGCCUCAAUGGAGUGACAGGUGCUCCUCCACUCAUUGCAGUUGUCAACAAUCAGCUCUAUGCAGCUGAUUACAGUGAGAAGGAUGUGAAGAAGUAUGACAAGCUGAAUAAUAAGUGGAUCGCUCUUGGGAAAUUGCCUGAACGGUCUGUGUCGAUGAAUGGCUGGGGCCUUGCUUUCCGAGCCUGUGGUGACCGGCUGAUUGUCAUCGGAGGCCCAAGGACUUCUAUUGGUGGCAUCAUUGAGCUUAAUUCCUGGGUUCCCGAUGAGCAACCGCCUGUGUGGAAUUUGGUUGCCACACGGCAAUCCGGGAACUUCGUGUAUAACUGCGCCGUGAUGGGUUGCUGAGUCCACUGAAUAAAGAUUGGAUGCAGUGGAUAUUUAUGAAGGAUGAUAGUAUGCACAAAGGCAGCCUGUUCAAUUGCUCCAGCCCUGAUUCUUCGUAGGGAUUUAUGCCUUCUGCCCAGUUAACUGGACAUCUGCUGAGCGGCAGCACUCAUGUAACCCUUGAGUUCUAAUACUUCUGUUUUCCUUGCUAAUCCAUUUCUACAUUUGCAAUUUGGAUCAACAGCUCGUGAUUUCAAAGAUACGAGACUAUGCAAAAACAGUGUUAUAUUAAUAAUCUAGAAACAACUUCCAGAAUGCUCGCCUUUCACUGUUGAUGAUGAACAAC